CUUAGUUUUCCAAAAGAAAAUUAUAAAGCUCAACCAUAUUUCACACAAUUGCAGUUCGAAAAUACUUAAGAUCAACUUUGUCAAAUUACAAUCAACAAAAUCCUGUUGAUAACAAUAAAAAUUAACAUCACCAGGGAUGAGAAAGGGGUCUCCCUUUUUUACAUGCUAUAACAUGAUCCAACACAAUCUGUUGAAGUUGUUUUUGAAUCUCUUCCAUGGAUUGGCACCCAUCUAUGAUCUUCCAAGAGGGAUCACGAAGGGCCAGAUAGCAUUCAGCAACUUUCCUCUGGAAUUCAAGUUUCUCAUAUCUUUCACCACCAUAGCCUCCUCUUUCUGCAGCUUUCUGAUGAAGUCAAAUAUAACAUAGAAGUUACUCGGACAAGAAAGAUUAAUUGGGAAAAUGAAACUACCAGUGCUGAAACAUUCACCUUAUUGAUAUUUUUGUGGUUAAAUUUUAAUUUUUUUUAAUCAAGUGCUCAGAAUGCUAGUAUAUUUGCAUGUGUGUUUAUGUGCAUGCAAGUGUCCUUGUUCCGACAAUAAAAUUGGCCACCACAUUCACUGUCAAUACACUAACAAAGGUGUCUACCUACAACACUGACUAUACCUAGUGGAUUUAACAAUUCACUUACUUCAACUAUCACUUGCUCUCUUGAGAUGUUUUAUAUACCAACGGCUAAAUGAUCACCACAUCUUUUGAAAUAAGACACUAUAUACUAUAAAACAGUAGAAAUACUUCACCUCAGGCGGUAUGUCAAGGUACAGUACAAGAUCUGGGGCCAGCAGCCCAAUCUCAGGAGCCUACAAAAGAAUACUCAUUCACCAACAACCGGAUAAAGGACAUAAACAUCAUUUUCAAAAGAUACAAUGGAAAAUAUGCAUUAGUUUCAAACAAUCUUUAAGCAUGUUUCACCUUACACCAUUCAAAAUCAAGUCCUUUCGCAGAUGAGAAAGCAACCCCGGAAUAAGAGUAACGGUCAACAAUGAGAGUAGUUCCACUUUUCAGUUGAGUUUCCAUCAAUGACCUGCAUAAUCAUUUUUCUUUUUUAAAUUUCCAACUUUCCAAUAUAACAGCACAAGAAUUCAAAUAAAUCAUAAGUAUGAUUCAAAUUUGAUAAAAUAAAAAAUAUUCAGAAAAUGACCUGUUAUAAUCCAUCAUGAAAGCUUCAACUUGCUUGAAAACUUCAAUGAAAUCACAGAAUUUCACCUCAUAGUGGAAUAUAGUUUGAGGCUUUAGUUUAACCAAACUUAAGCAUAUAGUAACAGUAUCAAAUCCCCACAUUUAAGCAGCAAACCUUUUUAAAUUAAAUUAAAACAUAUAGCCAACCUGUACCUCAUAAAGCCAAAAAUUCAUUUUCAUCCAUUUUUAUAUCCUCUGCCAAACACUCAUGCAACAUGUCAAUUAUCAUGGCUUGCCAAACCAUAACUCAAUGCAACAAGACAUUAGGAACUUCAAGCAAUGGAAGCAUACACUGAGCUUCUAAUAUGGCACCACACUUCCACCCUCUUUUCCCAACGAUUUGCACUGUAUAGGAGAUGGAUUGUAUGAUCAUCCAACUGAGAUUGAUUUGAAAGGUAAGCAGAUAUCAUCUGUCCAAUGCUAGUCGACCUAUCAGGAAAACGCCAUAAUUCAGUUGGAUGCCCAAGUCCCUCCAAGUAAGAGAGUAACUUGCUAGAUUGUGAAGUCUUUCCACUGCGAUCCAAACCUUCUAGAACUACGAAAGCACCUCUUGAACCGCCAUCACAAACCCUUCGGUUGCCAUUAUUAUGAUUAUUUUCCAUUCUAACUGUCCUAAUAGAACAUCUCAAGGGGAAACUCGAGCAGGAAUUCAGUGACCUCGCUGCUAAAGCACCAAAAUUUAAAGCCUUAGAAAAUGUAAAAAAGUAAGCAUAUUUCAUGUCCCUCGUACGUUUAUAGCCUAAAGCUCUGCCGGAGACUGGACAGAGCGGGAGAGUGACUGAGAGAGAGCACUAAAACCCUCCCCUACGCCCUUUUUACCGCGUUUUUUUCUUUUUUCUAUGCC
rnacentral:misc_RNA from 1 species